rnacentral:rRNA from 1 species
GAUGAACGCUGGCGGCGUGCCUAAUACAUGCAAGUCGAGCGAACGGACGAGAAGCUUGCUUCUCUGAUGUUAGCGGCGGACGGGUGAGUAACACGUGGAUAACCUACAUAUAAGACUGGGAUAACUUCGGGAAACCGGAGCUAAUACCGGAUAAUAUUUUGAACCGCAUGGUUCAAAAGUGAAAGACGGUCUUGCUGUCACUUAUAGAUGGAUCCGCGCUGCAUUAGCUAGUUGGUAAGGUAACGGCUUACCAAGGCAACGAUGCAUAGCCGACCUGAGAGGGUGAUAGGCCACACUGGAACUGAGACACGGUCCAGACUCCUACGGGAGGCAGCAGUAGGGAAUCUUCCGCAAUGGGCGAAAGCCUGACGGAGCAACGCCGCGUGAGUGAUGAAGGUCUUCGGAUCGUAAAACUCUGUUAUUAGGGAAGAACAUAUGUGUAAGUAACUGUGCACAUCUUGACGGUACCUAAUCAGAAAGCCACGGCUAACUACGUG